AUGUCUCAAUGUGUUAGAAACUUCAUCCAGAAGACAUCUUUUGAAAGAAGGAUGAGUCUCCUGUCAUUGCUGGUUUUCUGUUUCAUGCUUUUCUCAGGGACAGCUGCUGGACUUUAUUCUGCUGAUCCGUCUCUGGUGGUUUCCACUGAAGGACAAAGUAUCUGUUUGCCAUGUGGCGUACCUUCUGAGUCGUGCUCCUCGAUAAACUGGACGAUGGCAGAAAUGAUUCCAGGCUGGUUUUCUGAUGUGGUGAUGGAUGGAAGGGUGACAUCUGCAGAUGCCAGGUAUCAUCUGUUGAAGGACUGUUCCUUGGAAAUCGCUCAAGUCAAACCUGAUGAUGCCCACAUGUACACCUGUCAAAGCGGAUCACUUAAUUCAAGUGUUUCACUUCAGAUCCUUGAAGUUAUUGAGAGCCAAACUCCUGCAGAGGGCACAAUAGAGCUUCACUGUUAUCUGAACACAUUUAAAGGAUACAUGCCUUGCAGCAGAAACUCAGACAUCCACAUCAGAUGGACUGACCAGAAUGAUGAACCACUAAAUGGUCAAAGAUUUAGAUCUGAGACUCUAUCUGCUUGCUUCUCUAAACUUUUCAUCACCAAAAAACUGACGGACCAUCAUAGAACGUGGAAAUGUCACGUCCUACAGAACAACCAGAUUAAAGCCUCCGUCAGUUAUGAGACUACAGUAGAAGGUAAUAAGCUAACAGGUGAAGGUUGUGCUUUAAUAAGUACAGAAAGGGACUGA
rnacentral:lncRNA from 1 species